rnacentral:misc_RNA from 1 species
UUUGGCUUGCGCAACAACUGCCACCCGGCUUACCUAUUAAGAUGUUUGCUUUGGCUUCCAUUGCCAAUGUAGAUUGCGGGUUUCGUGUGUUGCCUACCUACGUCAGAGGAAUUGUCCCGAUCGAUAAAAGUUGCUUUCGUCUUGUGUCAAUCACAUGGCAUCAGAUGAACGUUGAAGCCGACUCUUUGCCCCACAUUGUUAAUACUUGUAUUGAUGUUGUGGCUCAUUGAGCAUCGGCUGGUGUCCUGGAUACGGAACCUGAUGUGGGCACGGGGUCUCUUGAUCCUUGUUUUGCCCUCGUGUAGUGUUCGCGUUUUUCCUCUUAAAGUGCUGCCUAGCCUGACGGGGCGGGAAUUGACGUAGAGGAAUGCCGCGCUUCUCUUAAAAUGACUGCCUAUCCCGAGUUGGCUCGUACGACCGGGUGGGUUUUGUCAAAGAGGAAUGC